rnacentral:siRNA from 1 species
AUACCCGUGAGCGCCGAUGAUCGC